rfam:Oryza barthii chromosome 4, whole genome shotgun sequence.
AAAAAGGGUAAAUCGUGGGUUCCCGUGCCAACGUUUGAUUGUCCGUCUUAUAUGAAAUUUAUUUUAUAAUUAGUAUUUUCAUUGUUGUUAGAUGAUAAAACAUGAUUAAUACUUUAUGCGUGACUUAUCUUUUUAAUUUUUUUUAUAAUUUUUUUAAAUAAGACGAACGGUCAAACGUUGGACACGAAAAUCAGGGUUUGUCUUUUU